CCCCUAGAUGUCCUGGGCCGCACGCGCGCUACACUGAACAGUUCAACAAGUCUUAACCUUGGCCGAUAGGUCUGGGUAAUCUUUGAACGCUGUUCGUGAUUGGGAUAGACCUUUGCAAUUAUGGGUCUUCAACGAGGAAUUCCUAGUAAACGCAAGUCAUCAGCUUGCAUUGAUUACGUCCCUGCCCUUUGUACACACCGCCCGUCGCACCUACCGAUUGAAUGGUCCGGUGAAAUCUCGGGACGGCGGCUUGGUCGCUUGCGUCCGACUGCUGAAACUUGAUUAAACCAUAUCAUUUAGAGGAAGGUGAANUCGUANCA
rnacentral:rRNA from 1 species